AGGUACAGAGGGCGAGCUACCCAGCAAUGGGAUGCGAAUCUCGAAAGCCUGUCUCAGUUCGGAUUGGAGGCCGAAACCCGCCUCCAUGAAGUUGGAUUCGCUAGUAAUCGCGCAUCAGCCAUGGCGCGGUGAAUACGUUCCCGGGCCUUGUACACACCGCCCGUCAAGCCAUGGGAGCCGGGGGUGCCUGAAGUUCGUGACCGCAAGGAGCGACCUAGGGCAAAACUGGUGACUGGGGCUAAGUCGUAACAAGGUAAC
rnacentral:rRNA from 1 species